rnacentral:rRNA from 1 species
AACAGGAUUAGAUACCCUGGUAGUCCACGCCGUAAACGAUGUCUAUUUGGAGGUUGUGCCCUUGAGGCGUGGCUUCCGGAGCUAACGCGUUAAAUAGACCGCCUGGGGAGUACGGCCGCAAGGUUAAAACUCAAAUGAAUUGACGGGGGCCCGCACAAGCGGUGGAGCAUGUGGUUUAAUUCGAUGCAACGCGAAGAACCUUACCUGGUCUUGACAUCCACAGAACUUGCCAGAGAUGGCUUGGUGCCUUCGGGAACUGUGAGACAAGUGCUGCAUGGCUGUCGUCAGCUCGUGUUGUGAAAUGUUGGGUUAAGUCCCGCAACGAGCGCAACCCUUAUCCUUUGUUGCCAGCGGUCCGGCCGGGAACUCAAAGGAGACUGCCAGUGAUAAACUGGAGGAAGGUGGGGAUGACGUCAAGUCAUCAUGGCCCUUACGACCAGGGCUACACACGUGCUACAAUGGCGCAUACAAAGAGAAGCGACCUCGCGAGAGCAAGCGGACCUCAUAAAGUGCGUCGUAGUCCGGAUUGGAGUCUGCAACUCGACUCCAUGAAGUCGGAAUCGCUAGUAAUCGUGGAUCAGAAUGCCACGGUGAAUACGUUCCCGGGCCUUGUACACACCGCCCGUCACACCAUGGGAGUGGGUUGCAAAAGAAGUAGGUAGCUUAACCUUCGGGAGGGCGCUUACCACUUUGUGAUUCAUGACUGGGGUGAAGUCGUAACAAGGUAACC